rnacentral:miRNA from 1 species
AGGAUGGCUCUGACCAGCUUCU